UGGGGAAUCUUGCGCAAUGGGCGAAAGCCUGACGCAGCCAUGCCGCGUGAAUGAUGAAGGUCUUAGGAUUGUAAAAUUCUUUCACCGGGGACGAUAAUGACGGUACCCGGAGAAGAAGCCCCGGCUAACUUCGUGCCAGCAGCCGCGGUAAUACGAAGGGGGCUAGCGUUGCUCGGAAUUACUGGGCGUAAAGGGAGCGUAGGCGGAUAGUUUAGUCAGAGGUGAAAGCCCAGGGCUCAACCUUGGAAUUGCCCUUGAUACUGGCUAUCUUGAGUACGGAAGAGGUAUGUGGAACUCCGAGUGUAGAGGUGAAAUUCGUAGAUAUUCGGAAGAACACCAGUGGCGAAGGCGACAUACUGGUCCGUUACUGACGCUGAGGCUCGAAAGCGUGGGGAGCAAACAGGAUUAGAUACCCCCGUAGUCCCUGAGCGGGCUGGCAAGGCGCAU
rnacentral:rRNA from 1 species